rnacentral:rRNA from 1 species
AUGGAGCACCUCAACCUGUCGGCAAAUUACUUCGGUGGCAUCGUGCCGCCCGUGGUGGCUGGGCUUCCGGCGCUGAGGUCGCUGAUUCUUGACACCAACCAGUUCACGGGAGCAUACCCAGCGGCUGAGAUAAGCAAGCUCGCCAGGCUCGAGGAGCUUACGCUGGCCUCUAACCUGUUCGUGCCGGCGGAGUUCGCCAAGCUGACCAAACUGAGCUUCCUCUGGAUGUCUGACGUGAACAUGACCGGUGAGAUCCCGAAGGCCUACUCGAGACUAGUGAACCUCCAGGUAAUCGCUAUAACCAAGAACAAUCUCUCCGGCGAGAUCCCGGCGUGGGUCUGGCGGCACCCAAAGCUCGAGAAGUUGUAUCUCUUCAGCUGUGGGCUCACCGGUGAACUGCCGCGCAAAAUGACGGCGGUGAAUUUGAUAGAGCUUGACGUGUCGUCGAACCAGCUCACUGGAGAAAUACCGGAAGACAUUGGUGACCUCAAGAACCUGAGCAUGCUAUUCAUGUACACCAACCAGCUCGCCGGCACCAUUCCAGCAAGCAUAGCGAUGCUCCCCAAUCUCAGGGACAUCAGGCUAUUUGAAAACAAGCUCUCCGGUGAGCUCCCGGCAGAGCUUGGGAAGCACUCGCCGCUUGGAAACCUCGAGGUCUGCAACAACAACCUGUCAGGCCCACUACCGGAGUCACUUUGCACCAACGGGGCACUCUACGGCCUUGUCGUCUUCAACAACAACUUCUCGGGCCAGCUCCCGAAGAGCUGA